UUUAAAUGGCCGCAGUAUACUAACUGUGCAAAGGUAGCAUAAUCAUUAGUCUUUUAAUUGGAGGCUGGUAUGAAUGGUUGGACGAGAUAUUAACUGUUUCAUAAAAAUUUUUAUUAGAAUUUUAUUUUUUAGUUAAAAAGCUAAAAUUUAUUUAAAAGACGAGAAGACCCUAUAAAUCUUUAUAUUUACAUUAUUAUAAUUUUAUAGAUUAUUUUUGUUAUGAUAGUAAUAAUAUUUUAUUGGGGUGAUAUUAAAAUUUAAUAAACUUUUAAUUUUUAAAAUCAUUAAUUUAUGAAUAAUUGAUCCGUUAUUAACGAUUAAAAAAAUAAGUUACUUUAGGGAUAACAGCGUAAUUUUUUUGGAGAGUUCUUAUCGAUAAAAAAGAUUGCGACCUCGAUGUUGGAUUAAGAUAUAAUUUUAGGUGUAGCUGCUUAAAUUUUAAGUCUGUUCGACUUUUAA
rnacentral:rRNA from 1 species